rnacentral:tRNA from 1 species
GGGGCUGGGGCUCAAUGGUAGAGCACGUGCCUCUCACGUGUGAGGCACUGGGUUCGAUUCUCAGCACCA